GAUGAACGCUGGCGGCGUGCCUAAUACAUGCAAGUCGAGCGAACAGACGAGGAGCUUGCUCCUCUGACGUUAGCGGCGGACGGGCGAGUAACACGUGGAUAACCUACCUAUAAGACUGGGAUAACUUCGGGAAACCGGAGCUAAUACCGGAUAAUAUAUUGAACCGCAUGGUUCAAUAGUGAAAGACGGUUUUGCUGUCACUUAUAGAUGGAUCCGCGCCGCAUUAGCUAGUUGGUAAGGUAACGGCUUACCAUGGCAACGAUGCGUAGCCGACCUGAGAGGGUGAUCGGCCACACUGGAACUGAGACACGGUCCAGACUCCUACGGGAGGCAGCAGUAGGGAAUCUUCCGCAAUGGGCGAAAGCUUGACGGAGCAACGCCGCGUGAGUGAUGAAGGUCUUCGGAUCGUAAAACUCUGUUAUUAGGGAAGAACAAAUGUGUAAGUAACUAUGCACGUCUUGACGGUACCUAAUCAGAAAGCCACGGCUAACUACGUG
rnacentral:rRNA from 1 species